GAUGAACGCUAGCUACAGGCUUAACACAUGCAGGUCGAGGGGAAACGGCAUUAAGUGCUUGCACUUUUUGGACGUCGACCGGCGCACGGGUGAGUAACGCGUAUCCAACCUUCCCAUGACUAAGGGAUAACCUGCCGAAAGGCAGACUAAUACCUUAUGGUCUUCACUGACGGCAUCAGAUGUGAAGUAAAGAUUUAUCGGUUAUGGAUGGGGAUGCGUCUGAUUAGCUUGUUGGCGGGGUAACGGCCCACCAAGGCAACGAUCAGUAGGGGUUCUGAGAGGAAGGUCCCCCACAUGGGAACUGAGACACGGUCCAAACUCCUACGGGAGGCAGCAGUGAGGAAUAUUGGUCAAUGGGCGAGAGCCUGAACCAGCCAAGUAGCGUGCAGGAUGACGGCCCUAUGGGUUGUAAACUGCUUUUGUAUGGGGAUAAAGUCAAUCACGUGUGAUUGUUUGCAGGUACCAUACGAAUAAGGACCGGCUAAUUCCGUG
rnacentral:rRNA from 1 species